GACGAACGCUGGCGGCGUGCUUAACACAUGCAAGUCGAGCGAUGAAGUUCCUUCGGGAAUGGAUUAGCGGCGGACGGGUGAGUAACACGUGGGUAACCUGCCUCAUAGAGGGGAAUAGCCUUCCGAAAGGAAGAUUAAUACCGCAUAAGAUUGUAGCUUCGCAUGAAGUAGCAAUUAAAGGAGUAAUCCGCUAUGAGAUGGACCCGCGUCGCAUUAGCUAGUUGGUGAGGUAACGGCUCACCAAGGCGACGAUGCGUAGCCGACCUGAGAGGGUGGUCGGCCACAUUGGGACUGAGACACGGCCCAGACGCCUACGGGAGGCAGCAGUGGGGAAUAUUGCACAAUGGGGGAAAUCCUGAUGCAGCAACGCCGCGUGAGUGAUGACGGUCUUCGGAUUGUAAAACUCUGUCUUCAGGGACGAUAAUGACGGUACCUGAGGAGGAAGCCACGGCUAACUACGUGCCAGCCGCCGCCGUAACAC
rnacentral:rRNA from 1 species